CCCGCUGAACUUAAGCAUAUCAAUAAGCGGAGGAAAAGAAACUAACAAGGAUUCCCCUAGUAACUGCGAGUGAAGCGGGAAGAGCUCAAAUUUGAAAUCUGGCAGCUCUCUGAACUGUCCGAGUUGUAAUCUAGAGAAGUGUUACCUGUGCUGGACCGUGUACAAGUCUCCUGGAAUGGAGCGUCACAGAGGGUGAGAAUCCCGUCUUUGACACGGACUGCCUGCAUGUUUAUGGUGCGCUCUCAAAGAGUCGAGCUGUUUGGGAAUGCAGCUCAAAAUGGGUGGUAAAUGCCAUCUAAAGCUAAAUAUUGGGGAGAGACCGAUAGCGAACAAGUACCGUGAGGGAAAGAUGAAAAGAACUUUGGAAAGAGAGUUAAACAGUACGUGAAAUUGCUGAAAGGGAAACGCUUGAAGUCAGUCGCGUCGCUCAGGACUCAGCCUUGCUUUUGCUUGGUGUACUUCCUGUUCGAUGGGUCAGCAUCAAUUUCGAUCGGUGGAUAAAGGCUUAGAGAAUGUGGCAUCUUCGGGUGUGUUAUAGCUCUUCGUCGCAUACAUCGGUUGGGAUUGAGGAACUCAGCACGCCGCAAGGCCGGGUACUUGUACUACGUUCGUGCUUAGGAUGCUGGCAUAAUGGCUUUAAUCGACCCGUCUUGAAACACGG
rnacentral:rRNA from 1 species